rnacentral:sRNA from 1 species
ACCAAUGAUAUCUUAUGGAAGGAGGGCC